GGGCCGCUAGCUCAACUGGCAGAGCAACUGACUCUUAAUCAGUAGGUUACAGGUUCGAUUCCUGUGCGGCUCA
rnacentral:tRNA from 2 species